UGGACAUAUUUCUUGUUGAUAAUCUUUGUACGACAUCUAUUUGAAGUAAAAAUUAACAACCAGACUUUUCUUAUCACCAGGUGGUAGCUACCAAGGAAUGCGUCGCGUAGUAGAGGCGACAGGAGGCAGGAAUGCAGUAGAGGCAGCUAUAGAAGCCGGCGGAUUAUGAAGCUCACAUUUGCGAUGUUUUUGGAAUUUCGUCCGUCCGUCCGUGACACAACUGCAGUCACUCGCCACGGGAUUAUGCCAAGAUCCGAGAGUUUCUGUCUACAUUUAUGAGAAGUUUCUGGAUGUCCUUUCAAGAAAAAGGACGAGGACUAUACGGUCAACAAGAUCCCUGUUUACUAAAACCCGUAGGCUGCUACCCUUUGAUUUCCAUUUUUACUUACUUACAACUUACUUCUUGAUUUGAGGGUAAUCCUUCGCUACUGAUCAUGGACUCCAUUUGUGAAACUGA